rnacentral:rRNA from 1 species
GAUGAACGCUGGCGGCGUGCCUAAUACAUGCAAGUCGAGCGAACAGACGAGGAGCUUGCUCCUCUGACGUUAGCGGCGGACGUGUGAGUAACACGUGGAUAACCUACCUAUAAGACUGGGAUAACUUCGGAAAACCGGAGCUAAUCCCGUAUAAUAUAUUGAACCGCGUUGGGCAAUGGUGAAAGACGGUUUUGCGGUCAGUUAUAGAUGGAUCCGCGCCGCAUUAGAUAGUUGGUAAGGUAACAGCUUACCAAGGGAACGAUGCGUAGCCGACGUGAGAGGGGGAUAGGCGACACGGGAAGUGAGCCACGGUCAAGACUACUACGGGAGGCAGCAGUAGGCAAUCGUACGCAAUGGGCGAAAGUUUGACGGAGCAACGCCGAGUGAGUGACGAAGGUGUUGGGAUCGUAAAAAUCUGUUAUGAGUGAAGAACAAAUGUGUACGUAACUAUGCACGUCUUGACGGUAAUUAAUAAGAAAGCAACGGCUAACUACGUG